GAUGAACGCUAGCUACAGGCUUAACACAUGCAAGUCGAGGGGCAGCAUGAACUUAGCUUGCUAAGUUUGAUGGCGACCGGCGCACGGGUGAGUAACACGUAUCCAACCUGCCGAUGACUCGGGGAUAGCCUUUCGAAAGAAAGAUUAAUACCCGAUGGCAUAGUUCUUCCGCACGGUGGAACUAUUAAAGAAUUUCGGUCAUCGAUGGGGAUGCGUUCCAUUAGGUUGUUGGCGGGGUAACGGCCCACCAAGCCUUCGAUGGAUAGGGGUUCUGAGAGGAAGGUCCCCCACAUUGGAACUGAGACACGGUCCAAACUCCUACGGGAGGCAGCAGUGAGGAAUAUUGGUCAAUGGACGAGAGUCUGAACCAGCCAAGUAGCGUGAAGGAUGACUGCCCUAUGGGUUGUAAACUUCUUUUAUACGGGAAUAAAGUGAGGCACGUGUGCCUUUUUGUAUGUACCGUAUGAAUAAGGAUCGGCUAACUCCGUGCCAGCAGCCGCGGUAAUACGGAGGAUCCGAGCGUUAUCCGGAUUUAUUGGGUUUAAAGGGAGCGUAGGCGGACGCUUAAGUCAGUUGUGAAAGUUUGCGGCUCAACCGUAAAAUUGCAGUUGAUACUGGGUGUCUUGAGUACAGUAGAGGCAGGCGGAAUUCGUGGUGUAGCGGUGAAAUGCUUAGAUAUCACGAAGAACUCCGAUUGCGAAGGCAGCUUGCUGGACUGUAACUGACGCUGAUGCUCGAAAGUGUGGGUAUCAAACAGGAUUAGAUACCCUGGUAGUCCACACAGUAAACGAUGAAUACUCGCUGUUUGCGAUAUACAGUAAGCGGCCAAGCGAAAGCGUUAAGUAUUCCACCUGGGGAGUACGCCGGCAACGGUGAAACUCAAAGGAAUUGACGGGGGCCCGCACAAGCGGAGGAACAUGUGGUUUAAUUCGAUGAUACGCGAGGAACCUUACCCGGGCUUGAAUUGCAACUGAAUGAUGUGGAGACAUGUCAGCCGCAAGGCAGUUGUGAAGGUGCUGCAUGGUUGUCGUCAGCUCGUGCCGUGAGGUGUCGGCUUAAGUGCCAUAACGAGCGCAACCCUUAUCGAUAGUUACCAUCAGGUUAUGCUGGGGACUCUGUCGAGACUGCCGUCGUAAGAUGUGAGGAAGGUGGGGAUGACGUCAAAUCAGCACGGCCCUUACGUCCGGGGCUACACACGUGUUACAAUGGGGGGUACAGAAGGCAGCUACACGGCGACGUGAUGCUAAUCCCGAAAGCCUCUCUCAGUUCGGAUUGGAGUCUGCAACCCGACUCCAUGAAGCUGGAUUCGCUAGUAAUCGCGCAUCAGCCACGGCGCGGUGAAAUACGUUCCCGGGCC
rnacentral:rRNA from 1 species